rnacentral:rRNA from 1 species
UACAGAGGGUGCAAGCGUUAAUCGGAAUUACUGGGCGUAAAGCGCGUGUAGGCGGCUUAUUAAGUCGGAUGUGAAAGCCCUGGGCUUAACCUGGGAACUGCGUUCGAUACUGGUAAGCUAGAGUCGGGCAGAGGGUGGCGGAAUUUCCGGUGUAGCGGUGAAAUGCGUAGAUAUCGGAAAGAACAUCAGUGGCGAAGGCGGCCACCUGGGUCCAGACUGACGCUGAGGCGCGAAAGCGUGGGGAGCAAACAGG